UAGCAUAUGCUUAUUCAAAAGAUUAAGCCAUGCAUGUCUAAGUAUAGGUGAUUCUAUAGCUGAAACUGCGUAAGGCUCAUUAAAUAGUUUACAAGGUGCCCCCCAAAUCCUCUACUCGGAUAACUGUCGAAAAGCGAGAGCUAAUACGUGCAAAAAGGGAUGACUACAGCAAUGUGGAAGUCCUGGCAUGAUUGGUUACAAAAUCAGCGCCGCCCCUCAAAGGCGGGAAACUUGAUGAUUCACAGUCAUAAAUCGAAGCGGAGGUCUCGUACCGUCGCUAUGGGGGAUCCGUUUUCUACCCAUCAUACUAUGUCUGUAGUAUAGGGGACUACAGAGGUCGUAACGGGUAACGGGGAAUAAGGGUUCGAUUCCGGAGAGGGAGCCUGAGAAAUGGCUACCACUUCCAAGGAAGGCAGCAGGCGCGCAAAUUACCCAAUCCUGAUUCGGGGAGGUAGUGACUGAAAAUAAGAUUGUAGGACGCUACGCGUACUACAUUUCUAAUGAGUACAAUUUAAAUACCUUAACGAGGAACAACUA
rnacentral:rRNA from 1 species